GAUGAACGCUGGCGGCGUGCCUAAUACAUGCAAGUCGAGCGAACAGACGAGGAGCUUGCUCCUCUGACGUUAGCGGCGGACGGGUGAGUAACACGUGGAUAACCUACCUAUAAGACUGGGAUAACUUCGGGAAACCGGAGCUAAUACCGGAUAAUAUAUUGAACCGCAUGGUUCAAUAGUGAAAGACGGUUUUGCUGUCACUUAUAGAUGGAUCCGCGCCGCAUUAGCUAGUUGGUAAGGUAACGGCUUACCAAGGCAACGAUGCGUAGCCGACCUGAGAGGGUGACCGGCCACACUGGAACUGAGACACGGUCCAGACUCCUACGGGAGGCAGCAGUAGGGAAUCUUCCGCAAUGGGCGAAAGCCUGACGGAGCAACGCCGCGUGAGUGAUGAAGGUCUUCGGAUCGUAAAGCUCUGUUAUUAGGGAAGAACAAAUGUGUAAGUAACUAUGCACGUCUUGACGGUACCUAAUCAGAAAGCCCCGGCUAACUACGUG
rnacentral:rRNA from 1 species